CGGCAGCACGGGGGCAACCCUGGUGGCGAGUGGCGAACGGGUGAGUAAUGCAUCGGAACGUGUCUUCGAGUGGGGGAUAACGCACCGAAAGGUGUGGUAAUACCGCAUAAUCUCUACGGAGAAAAGCAGGGGAUCGACAGACCUUGCGCUUUUGGAGCGGCCGAUGUCUGAUUAGCUAGUUGGUGAGGUAAAGGCUUACCAAGGCGACGAUCAGUAGCUGGUCUGAGAGGACGACCAGCCACACUGGGACUGAGACACGGCCCAGAGUCCUACGGGAGGCAGCAGUGGGGAAUUUUGGACAAUGGGGGAAACCCUGAUCCAGCCAUGCCGCGUGAGUGAAGAAGGCCUUCGGGUUGUAAAGCUCUUUCAGCCGGAACGAAACGGUCACGGCUAAUACCUGUGACUACUGACGGUACCGGAAGAAGAAGCACCGGCUAACUACGUGCCAGCAGCCGCGGUAAUACGUAGGGUGCAAGCGUUAAUCGGAAUUACUGGGCGUAAAGCGUGCGCAGGCGGUUUUGUAAGUCAGAUGUGAAAUCCCCGGGCUUAACCUGGGAACUGCGUUUGAAACUACAAGGCUAGAGUGUGGCAGAGGGGGGUGGAAUUCCACGUGUAGCAGUGAAAUGCGUAGAGAUGUGGAGGAACACCGAUGGCGAAGGCAGCCCCCUGGGUUAACACUGACGCUCAGGCACGAAAGCGUGGGGAGCAAACAGGAUUAGAUACCCUGGUAGUCCACGCCCUAAACGAUGUCAACUAGUUGUCGGGUCUUAACGGACUUGGUAACGCAGCUAACGCGUGAAGUUGACCGCCUGGGGAGUACGGUCGCAAGAUUAAAACUCAAAGGAAUUGACGGGGACCGCACAAGCGGUGGAUUAUGUGGAUUAAUUCGAUGCAACGCGAAAAACCUUACCUACCCUUGACAUGUGCCGAAGCCCGCUGAGAGGUGGGUGUGCCCGAAAGGGAGCGGCAACACAGGUGCUGCAUGGCUGUCGUCAGCUCGUGUCGUGAGAUGUUGGGUUAAGUCCCGCAACGAGCGCAACCCUUGUCAUUAAUUGCCAUCAUUCAGUUGGGCACUUUAAUGAAACUGCCGGUGACAAACCGGAGGAAGGUGGGGAUGACGUCAAGUCCUCAUGGCCCUUAUGGGUAGGGCUUCACACGUAAUACAAUGGCGCGUACAGAGGGUUGCCAACCCGCGAGGGGGAGCUAAUCUCAGAAAGCGCGUCGUAGUCCGGAUCGGAGUCUGCAACUCGACUCCGUGAAGUCGGAAUCGCUAGUAAUCGCGGAUCAGCAUGUC
rnacentral:rRNA from 1 species